GGAGAACUCGCGGUGCUGCUGUGUAAAAAGGUGUUCUUCUGGUGACUAGAUCAGGAACUCGCAUUCAACCCUUGAAAUGAUGUUGAAAGAUCGAUGUAGUGAAGCUUUGGUUAGAUGAAAUGAGAGCUGCCUUUUCCAGAAAGUAAGGCUCAUAUGCAGGACAGACGUAGUCCUUGGGACACCAUUUUGAAGAAGCUUUGAAAACGAAUGCUGUGGAGAAACAUCUUCCUCUUGGACACUGAAAAAUAAAACUUAAUAUGGAAAGAAUGAGCUGAUCAUAUCAGUUCUUCAUAUUAGACUUUUGUGCUUGGUUGGAAAAGCAAUAAGGUUAUAAGCUCAUCUAAUAAUGAAAA